rnacentral:rRNA from 1 species
GACGUAGGGCGCGAGCGUUGUCCGGAUUUAUUGGGCGUAAAGCGCGCGUAGGCGGUUACUCAAGUCGGAUGUGAAAGCCCUCGGCUUAACUGAGGAAGUGCACCCGAAACUGAGUAGCUAGAGUACUAAAGAGGGUCGCGGAAUUCCCGGUGUAGAGGUGAAAUUCGUAGAUAUCGGGAGGAACACCGGUGGCGAAGGCGGCGACCUGGGUAGAUACUGACGCUGAGGCGCGAAAGCGUGGGGAGCAAACAGG